AACGAACGCUGGCGGCGUGGAUAAGACAUGCAAGUCGAACGGGAUUUUUUUCUGUAGCAAUACAGAAAAAAGUCUAGUGGCGAACGGGUGCGUAACACGUGAGCAACCUGCCGUGAAGUGGGGGAUAGCUCGCCGAAAGGCGAAUUAAUACCGCAUGUGGCCAAGGAAGACAUCUUCCUGACGCCAAAGCCGGGGCAACCUGGCGCUUCUCGAGGGGCUCGCGGCCUAUCAGCUUGUUGGUGAGGUAACGGCUCACCAAGGCUAUGACGGGUAGCUGGUCUGAGAGGACGACCAGCCACACUGGAACUGAGACACGGUCCAGACACCUACGGGUGGCAGCAGUCGAGAAUUUUUCACAAUGGGGGAAACCCUGAUGGAGCGACGCCGCGUGGAGGAUGAAGGUUUUCGGAUUGUAAACUCCUGUCAUUAGAGAACAAGGCACACAGUUUAACUGGCCGUGUGUUGAUAGUAUCUGAAGAGGAAGAGACGGCUAACUCUGUGCCAGCCGCCGCGGUAA
rnacentral:rRNA from 1 species